UACGUAGGGUGCAAGCGUUGUUCGGAAUUAUUGGGCGUAAAGAGCUCGUAGGCGGUUUGUCGCGUCUGCUGUGAAAACCCGAGGCUCAACCUCGGGCCUGCAGUGGGUACGGGCAGACUAGAGUGCGGUAGGGGAGAUUGGAAUUCCUGGUGUAGCGGUGGAAUGCGCAGAUAUCAGGAGGAACACCAAUGGCGAAGGCAGAUCUCUGGGCCGUAACUGACGCUGAGGAGCGAAAGCAUGGGGAGCGAACAGG
rnacentral:rRNA from 1 species